AUGCCGGACACGACGGACGACGUGGCGGAGGGGAUAUCGUUCCAGGCGUUCGAGGACGACUGCCGCCUGCUCGGCAGCCUCCUCCACGAGGUGCUCCUCCGCGAGCUCGGCCCGGGCUUCGUCAAGCUCUUCGAGCGCAUCCGCAUCCUCGCCCAGAGCGCCAUGACGAUGCGCGGCGCGGGGAUGGAGGACACGGCGGCGGUGGUGGAGCGGCAGCUGGAGGCGGAGCUGUCCGCCAUGUCGCUCGAGGACUCGCUCUCCCUCGCCCGCGCCUUCGCCCACCACCUCAACCUCAUGGGCAUCGCCGAGAGGCACCACAGGGUCCGCAAAUCACGUAGUGAAGUGCAUCUGUCAAAAUCAUGUCACGAUAUAUUCGACAAGUUGAUCCAAGGCGGCGUUCCUCCAGAACAACUCUAUGAUACUGUCUGCAAACAGGGGGUUGAAAUCGUUCUUACGGCGCAUCCAACUCAAAUAAAUCGGCGAACCUUGCAAUACAAGCACCUUAGGAUAGCCCAUCUUUUGGAGUUCAACGGACGGCGUGAUCUUAACUAUGAGGAUAGAGAGAUGCUAAUAGAAGACCUGGUAAGGGAAAUCACAGCAUUAUGGCAGACAGAUGAGUUGAGGCGCCAUAAACCUACACCAGUUGAUGAAGCUAGGGCUGGCCUUCAUAUUGUGGAACAAUCUCUCUGGAAAUCGAUACCACGCUAUCUUCGCCGUGUCAGCAAUGCUCUAAAGAAGCAUACUGGCAAGCCUCUUCCACUAACCUGCACACCAAUCAAAUUUGGUUCAUGGAUGGGUGGCGACCGAGACGGGAAUCCUAAUGUCACAUCAAAAGUGACUCGGGAUGUUUCCUUGAUGGCCCGUUGGAUGGCAAUUGACCUGUACAUCCGACAACUAGACAGUCUCAGCUUUGAGUUAUCCAUCAAGAAAUGUAGCGAUAAGCUUGCAACCUUAGCCAAUGAAAUCUUGCUCAAAGACUCAGAGUCGACAUCCGAAGAGAAGAAGGCCAAUCCUUGGACCAAAACAGGACCAGAAAACAACUUAAAACGGCCGCCUAGGAUGGGGAUGCCUGCUCAGCUUCCUUCUGGUGCUGAUCUUCCAUCAUUGACAGAAUGCAGUGAUAGCGAAUCUCAAUUCAGAAUAGUAAAACUUCCAUGCAACCCGAAACAUCAGGGAAUCCAAAUUCCAACAGAAAGAAGUGAGGAGAGUCACAGUCCAGUGCAGUCUCCUGGUCGUCGUCCAUCAUCAUCACAUAUGAGUCGAACUCCAAGUGGUAGUCAACUAAGGAAAAUGUUGUUCACAGAAUCUAAGAUAGGCCGGUCAAGCUUCCGAAAGCUUCUAGAGCCAAGCCUAUCAGAUAAACCAGGAAUUACCCCAUACAGGAUUGUCCUUGGUAAUGUGAAAGAAAAGAUGAUGAAGACACGGAGACGGCUUGAGCAUCUUCUUGAGGAUCUACCAUGUGACUCUGAUCCUGCAGAAUAUUAUGAAACACCGGAUCAACUUCUAGAGCCGUUGCUCUUGUGCUACGACUCACUGCAAUCAUGUGGAUCUAGCAUUCUUGCCGAUGGCCGGCUAGCCGAUCUUAUACGAAGGGUUGCAACCUUUGGUAUGGUGCUAAUGAAGCUCGACGUCCGCCAGGAAUCGGGCCGGCACACAGAAGCACUUGACGCCAUUACGUCUUACUUGGAUCUUGGCGUUUAUAGUGAGUGGGAUGAGGAAAAGAAGCUGGAUUUCUUGACUAGAGAGCUGAAAGGGAAGCGCCCUCUAGUUCCCCCAUACAUAGAGGUUAAUGCUGAUGUGAAAGAAGUUCUCGACACCUUCCGCGUUGCUGCAGAACUCGGGAGCGACUCGCUUGGAGCAUAUGUGAUUUCAAUGGCCUCCAAUGCCAGUGAUGUCCUCGCUGUCGAGUUGUUGCAGAAGGACGCAAGGCUAACAGUUAGUGGGGAUCUCGGAAGGGAAUGUCCCGGUGGAACGUUAAGAGUUGUUCCCUUGUUCGAGACGGUGAAGGAUCUUCGAGAAGCCGGUUCCGCGAUCUGGAAGUUGCUGGCCAUUGACUGGUACAGGGAGCAUAUCAUCAAGAACCACAACGGCCACCAAGAGGUCAUGGUGGGCUACUCUGAUUCUGGCAAGGACGCCGGCCGUUUCACGGCGGCGUGGGAGCUGUACAAGGCGCAGGAGGACGUGGUGGCGGCGUGCAACGAGCACGGCAUCAAGGUGACGCUCUUCCACGGCCGCGGCGGGAGCAUCGGGCGCGGCGGUGGGCCGACAUACCUGGCCAUCCAGUCCCAGCCCCCCGGCUCGGUGAUGGGGACGCUGCGGUCGACGGAGCAGGGCGAGAUGGUGCAGGCCAAGUUCGGGCUGCCGCAGACGGCGGUGCGGCAGCUGGAGAUCUACACGACGGCGGUGCUGCUGGCCACCCUGCGGCCACCGCAGCCGCCGCGGGACCCGAACUGGCGGCACGUCAUGGAGGAGAUCUCCCGCGCAAGCUGCGCGCACUACCGGCGCACCGUGUACGAGGACCCGGCCUUCGUCACCUACUUCCAGGAGGCGACGCCGCAGGCGGAGCUGGGCUACCUCAACAUCGGCAGCCGCCCGGCAAAGCGCAAGGCGGCGAUCACGGCCGCCGGCGGCAUCGCCAGCCUGCGCGCCAUCCCGUGGGUGUUCGCGUGGACGCAGACGCGGCUGGCGCUGCCGGCGUGGCUGGGCGUCGGCACGGGGCUCCAGGACGCGCGCGACAAGGGCCGCACCGAGGACCUCCGGGCCAUGUACGAGGAGUGGCCCUUCUUCCAGUCCACGCUCGACCUCAUCGAGAUGGUGGUGGCCAAGGCCGACGCGCCCAUGGCCAAGCACUACGACGACGUGCUGGUGCUGUCGCCGGAGCGGCGCGCGCUCGGGGAGGAGCUGCGGCGGGAGCUGGCCAGGGCGGGGAGCUGCGUGCUGGCCGUCAGCGGGCACACCAAGCUGUCGGCCAACAACCGGAGCCUGCGGCGGCUGAUCGAGAGCCGGCUGCCGUACCUCAACCCCAUGAACAUGCUGCAGGUGGAGGUGCUGCGCCGGCUGCGCCGAGACGACGACAACCACAAGCUCCGCGACGUGCUGCUCAUCACCAUCAACGGCAUCGCCGCAGGGAUGCGCAACACCGGCUAG
rnacentral:rRNA from 1 species